CUUUGUGGAGAGGUGCUAUCAG
rnacentral:siRNA from 1 species